UACGGGGGGGGCAAGCGUUGUUCGGAAUUACUGGGCGUAAAGGGCUCGUAGGUGGCCAACUAAGUCAGACGUGAAAUCCCUCGGCUUAACCGGGGAACUGCGUCUGAUACUGGAUGGCUUGAAUCCGGGAGAGGGAUGCAGAAUUCCAGGUGUAGCGGUGAAAUGCGUAGAUAUCUGGAGGAAUACCGGUGGCGAAGGCGGCAUCCUGGACCGGCAUUGACGCUGAGGAGCGAAAGCCAGGGGAGCAAAGCGGG
rnacentral:rRNA from 1 species